CUAUUAAUUUUCGCUUUAAAAGGUUAAAUUGAAGGUGGUUGAGAUACCUUCAUGGCGGAAAAAAGAUUGCUUUAUUGCAUCAUUCGAAGCCUAGUUAAUCUUAAAGGCAUUACUUAAAAAAAAUGGGAAGAUAAUAGGAUAAAAGAUAUUUAGAUAAAGAAGAUUAAAAAUUUGAAGUGAAAAACUUUAAAGACAGAAGUAUAGAAAGUUAAAAAGAAAAAAGAUAAACAAGAUGUAGAAAGAUAAAAAAAAUGUAGAAAGACAAGAAUUUUAAACCCACAAAAUAGGAAACAAGAAAACUAGGAGAGAAAAUAAGCAACUAAGGGUAAAUAUAAAAACCUUAAAAAAAAAUUAGAUAGAAAUAAGAAAAUGGUUGAAAAUGUCAAGUAAGGUAUUACACAGAUAGAAAAUGCAAAAAGCUAAGACAACUAUUAGAUACAGACAUAUACUUAUUAAAGCAAAAAGAGGGAAUUGGAAGGGGGUAUAUAUCCCCCAAAGAUAAACUUAAAAUAACGCUUUUUACUCUAAACUUUUAAAAAUUUAGAUUCAUCAGGACUUAGUGCUGCAGAAAGGCAUAUGUAUCCAAAAAAUGUACAUAAGUCUAAGGUACUUUGGAAAGAUAUUCUAACAGGACAAUGGAAAGGUCCUGACCCAGUGAUUGUCUGGAGUCGGGGUUUUGUUUGUGUUUUUCCACAGGGAGAACAGCAGCCCAUUUGGAUUCCAGAGAGAUUAACUAAAACAGUUUCUACAGAUCGAAAAGAAGAUGAUUUGACUCAAAU
rnacentral:lncRNA from 1 species